rnacentral:lncRNA from 1 species
GGUCCCACAAAAAUUGGCAUGUAAGAAUUAAGAGGUAUUUAUGGAGAGAAAUCAAUGUUUGGCGCAAUAUAAACCCAAGCAAUGUCCCAUUACUUCCCAUAAAGAUAAAAUUCUUUAUAUAGAAGUUUUGGGUGUGGAAGAGCCUUCAAGCAAAAGUACUCUUCCACUUUUGUGCAAUAAAAAUCAAAAACCAUCAAAUGGUCCA